CUACGGGACGCUGCAGUGAGGAAUAUUGCGCAAUGGGGGAAACCCUGACGCAGCGACGCCGCGUGGAUGAUGAAGGCCUUAGGGUCGUAAAAUCCUGUCAGGUGGGAAGAAGUGGAUAUAGAUUAAUACUCUAUUUCUUUGACGGUACCACCAAAGGAAGCACCGGCUAACUCCGUGCCAGCAGCCGCGGUAAUACGGAGGGUGCAAACGUUGUUCGGAAUUACUGGGCGUAAAGCGCGCGUAGGCGGUUUGUUAAGUCGGAUGUGAAAGUCCAUGGCUCAAAUAUGGAAGGGCAUUUGAAACUGGCAGACUUGAGUACUGGAGGGGGUGAUGGAAUUCCCGGUGUAGAGGUGAAAUUCGUAGAUAUCGGGAGGAAUACCGGUGGCGAAGGCGAUCACCUGGCCAGAUACUGACGCUGAGGUGCGAAAGCGUGGGGAGCAAACAGGAUUAGAUACCCCCGUAGUC
rnacentral:rRNA from 1 species